GAGUUUACAACUCCCAAACCCCUGUGAACAUACCAAUUGUUGCCUCGGCGGAUCAGCCCGCUCCCGGUAAAACGGGACGGCCCGCCAGAGGACCCCUAAACUCUGUUUCUAUAUGUAACUUCUGAGUAAAACCAUAAAUAAAUCAAAACUUUCAACAACGGAUCUCUUGGUUCUGGCAUCGAUGAAGAACGCAGCAAAAUGCGAUAAGUAAUGUGAAUUGCAGAAUUCAGUGAAUCAUCGAAUCUUUGAACGCACAUUGCGCCCGCCAGUAUUCUGGCGGGCAUGCCUGUUCGAGCGUCAUUUCAACCCUCAAGCCCAGCUUGGUGUUGGGACUCGCGAGUCAAAUCGCGUUCCCCAAAUUGAUUGGCGGUCACGUCGAGCUUCCAUAGCGUAGUAGUAAAACCCUCGUUACUGGUAAUCGUCGCGGCCACGCCGUUAAACCCCAACUUCUGAAUGUUGACCUCGGAUCAGGUAGGAAUACCCGCUGAACUUAAGCAUAUCAAUAAGCGGAGGAAAAGAAACCAACAGGGAUUGCCCUAGUAACGGCGAGUGAAGCGGCAACAGCUCAAAUUUGAAAUCUGGCUCUCGGGCCCGAGUUGUAAUUUGUAGAGGAUACUUUUGAUGCGGUGCCUUCCGAGUUCCCUGGAACGGGACGCCAUAGAGGGUGAGAGCCCCGUCUGGUUGGAUGCCAAAUCUCUGUAAAGUUCCUUCGACGAGUCGAGUAGUUUGGGAAUGCUGCUCUAAAUGGGAGGUAUAUGUCUUCUAAAGCUAAAUACCGGCCAGAGACCGAUAGCGCACAAGUAGAGUGAUCGAAAGAUGAAAAGCACUUUGAAAAGAGAGUUAAAAAGUACGUGAAAUUGUUGAAAGGGAAGCGUUUAUGACCAGACUUGGGCUUGGUUGAUCAUCUGGGGUUCUCCCCAGUGCACUCUUCCAGUCCAGGCCAGCAUCAGUUUUCGCCGGGGGAUAAAGACUUCGGGAAUGUGGCUCUCUUCGGGGAGUGUUAUAGCCCGUUGUGUAAUACCCUGGCGGGGACUGAGG
rnacentral:rRNA from 1 species